rnacentral:SRP_RNA from 1 species
CCGCACUAGGUGGGGAGUUAGCGGUGCCCUGAACUUGCAAUCCGCUCUAGCAAGACUGAGUUCCCGCCCCAGGCUUCUUUUUUCAGUGUAUGGCGCUGGCAAGCGGCGUUGAGAAAUGGGCCCUGUGCAACAUAGCGCUAUGAACCCUGUCAGGUCCUGACGGAAGCAGCAGUAAGUAGAUAGCUAUGUGUGCCGCAGAGCAGUCUGUUUUGAGCUGGCUACCAGAAUUCCUGCUGGGAGAGGUUGUCGAAGGUGGGUGUGCGG